UGGGGAAUAUUGCACAAUGGGGGAAACCCUGAUGCAGCGACGCCGCGUGAACGAAGAAGGUAUUCGUAUCGUAAAGUUCUGUCCUAUGGGAAGAUAAUGACAGUACCAUAGAAGAAAGCUCCGGCUAAAUACGUGCCAGCAGCCGCGGUAAUACGUAUGGAGCGAGCGUUGUCCGGAAUUAUUGGGCGUAAAGGGUACGCAGGCGGUUUAAUAAGUCGAAUGUUAAAGAUCGGGGCUCAACCCCGUAAAGCAUUGGAAACUGAUAAACUUGAGUAGUGGAGAGGAAAGUGGAAUUCCUAGUGUAGUGGUGAAAUACGUAGAUAUUAGGAGGAAUACCAGUAGCGAAGGCGACGUUCUGGACACAAACUGACGCUGAGGUACGAAAGCGUGGGGAGCAAACAGG
rnacentral:rRNA from 2 species